rnacentral:rRNA from 1 species
UUAGAGUUUGAUCCUGGCUCAGAUUGAACGCUGGCGGCAUGCCUUACACAUGCAAGUCGAACGGCAGCACGGGUGCUUGCACCUGGUGGCUGAGUGGCGAACUGGGUGAGUAAAGCAUCGGAACGUGCCCAACUGUGGGGGAUAACGCACCGAAAGGUGUGCUAAUACCGCAUAAGCCCUGAGGGGGAAAGCAGGGGAUCUUAGGACCUUGCGCAGAUGGAGCGGCCGAUGUCGGAUUAGCUAGUUGGUGAGGUAAAGGCUCACCAAGGCGACGAUCCGUAGCUGGUCUGAGAGGAUGAUCAGCCACACUGGAACUGAGAGACGGUCCAGACUCCUACGGGAGGCAGCAGUGGGGAAUUUUGGACAAUGGGGGCAACCCUGAUCCAGCCAUGCCGCGUGAGUGAAGAAGGCCUUCGGGUUGUAAAGCUCUUUCGGCCGGGAAGAAAUCGUGCAGGCUAAUACUCUGUAUGGAUGACGGUACCGGAAUAAGAAGCACCGGCUAACUACGUGCCAGCAGCCGCGGUAAUACGUAGGGUGCGAGCGUUAAUCGGAAUUACUGGGCGUAAAGCGUGCGCAGGCGGUUUUGUAAGACAGGCGUGAAAUCCCCGGGCUCACCUGGGAAUGGCGCUUGUGACUGCAAGGCUAAGUACGGCAA